rnacentral:rRNA from 1 species
CCUACGGGAGGCAGCAGUGAGGAAUAUUGGUCAAUGGACGCGAGUCUGAACCAGCCAAGUCGCGUGAAGGAUGACUGCCCUAUGGGUUGUAAACUUCUUUUAUAAAGGAAUAAAACGAGGCACGCGUGCCUUUUUGCAUGUACUUUAUGAAUAAGGAUCGGCUAACUCCGUGCCAGCAGCCGCGGUAAUACGGAGGAUCCGAGCGUUAUCCGGAUUUAUUGGGUUUAAAGGGAGCGUAGAUGGGUUGUUAAGUCAGUUGUGAAAGUCUGCGGCUCAACCGUAAAAUUGCAAUUGAUACUGGCAGUCUUGAGUACGGUUGAGGUAAGCGGAAUGCGUGGUGUAGCGGUGAAAUGCUUAGAUAUCGCGAAGAACCCCGAUUGCGAAGGCAGCAUACUAAA